AUCCGGCCAGAAGGACGGACACUUUAUAUAAGCAGCAAAGGACUACUACUACUAGGAGGAGACGAAUAAUAAAAAACGAAGAGGAGCAGCAGGAGAGUCAAUAUCAUAAUUUUAUAAAUUUAUCAAUGCUACUGCUGUAGUAGUAUAGAUUGCAAGCACACCCCUUUCUUUAUUUUUCUGUUACUCCUCUCUCUCUUUCUUCUUCGUAUUUAAUAUUAACAAUUCUCUGCUCUUCCUCAUUCCCUUUAUUUAUUUCAACUUUUUCAGCAGCACUAACUAACAUAUCUAUUAAAAUAAUUACUCAUCUCGCCCGCCGGAAUGGAAAGGAAAUUAUGUAUGCCAAUAAGUAUAACAGAGAUAAAGCAAUAUUGAAUUCCAUGUUGCUGUUCCACCAUGUGUCAUGCACAUGGGCUAUACAAAUGUAUCACCGUUAAAUAAUAUGUUAUGAUAGCUUGACGCAAUCAUUGUGAUGAUAUAAUGAUAGAUGCGUAUGAAAUACAAAAAUGAUUGAAA
rnacentral:lncRNA from 1 species